rnacentral:tRNA from 1 species
GGGGUUGUGGCUCAGCAGUAGAGUGCUUGCCUAGCACGUGAGAGGCCCUGGGUUCGAUCCUCAGCACCA